rnacentral:rRNA from 1 species
AUUGAACGCUGGCGGCAUGCCUUACACAUGCAAGUCGAACGGUAACAGGUCUUCGGAUGCUGACGAGUGGCGAACGGGGGGGUAAUACAUCGGAACGUGCCCGAUCGUGGGGGAUAAAGAAGCGAAAGCUUUGCUAAUACCGCAUACGAUCUACGGAUGACAGCGGGGGAUCUUCGGACCUCGCGCGGACGGAGCGGCCGAUGGCAGAUUAGGUAGUUGGUGGGAUAAAAGCUGACCACGCCGACGAUCUGUAGCUGGUCUGAGAGGAUGAUCAGCCACACUGGGACUGAGACACGGCCCAGACUCCUACGGGAGGCAGCAGUGGGGAAUUUUGGACAAUGGGCGCAAGCCUGAUCCAGCCAUGCCGCGUGCAGGAUGAAGGCCUUCGGGUUGUAAACUGCUUUUGUACGGAACGAAAAGGUGCCUUCUAAUAAAGGGCGCUCAUGACGGUACCGUAAGAAUAAGCACCGGCUAACUACGUG